rnacentral:rRNA from 1 species
CCUACGGGAGGCAGCAGUGGGGAAUAUUGGACAAUGGGCGCAAGCCUGAUCCAGCCAUGCCGCGUGAGUGAUGAAGGCCUUAGGGUUGUAAAGCUCUUUCAGUAGGGACGAUAAUGACGGUACCUACAGAAGAAGCCCCGGCUAACUUCGUGCCAGCAGCCGCGGUAAUACGAAGGGGGCUAGCGUUGUUCGGAUUUACUGGGCGUAAAGCGCACGUAGGCGGAUCGUUAAGUCGGGGGUGAAAUCCUGGAGCUCAACUCCAGAACUGCCUUCGAUACUGGCGAUCUUGAGUCCGGAAGAGGUGAGUGGAACUCCUAGUGUAGAGGUGGAAUUCGUAGAUAUUAGGAAGAACACCAGUGGCGAAGGCGGCUCACUGGUCCGGUACUGACGCUGAGGUGCGAAAGCGUGGGGAGCAAACAGGAUUAGAUACCCAGGUAGUCCACGCCGUAAACUAUGAGAGCUAGCCGUUGGGAGAUUUAUCUCUCAGUGGCGCAGCUAACGCAUUAAGCUCUCCGCCUGGGGAGUACGGUCGCAAGAUUAAAACUCAAAGGAAUUGACGG